CAAACCAACUAGGGGAGAAGAGAAGCCCGACCACCAGUACCCCGAACCCCUCACUUGAACGUGAGCAGAAGAGCCAGUCCAGGGCUGGGACCCGGAUACGAACACAGCUACAGCCAGAAGUCAACACAGGCGAAAAUGGAGAAAUCUGAACUUGGACUGGGUAUUCGCUUUGACUGGAUCUGGCUUUCUACCCGAGAUGGUUCCUGGGACUCAACGGCCACGACAACGUUAAGAGAAGCAAACAAUGGGUAGUCAACAGCUGGGGAAGCCUUCAGUUCCACAGGUGCAGAACAAGUUUCCACUUCGGAUCAGCCUUCCUGGCUCAGCAAGAGCCGCAGGAGUGUCUUAACUCUACUGACAAAUCCCGGCUUGUCAACAAUUCAAAAACUUGAGCGAAUCGAAACCCUAUCUGGAGACAGGACAGACCGAAUUAGAAAAACCCUUUUGGGGAAUCGUCUUUUUCUUCUGAAGAACAAAUCUGGAAGACGAUAAAAAAGAAAGGGGUUUUGUGACCGGAAUACCCGUAUUUUCAUGGCCGCAACUGGUUGUACUUCUGGGAGAAUUUGUAUUUGGCUUCAGAUUAAACCUCUCCCCAGAGAAUAAAACCGUUUUAAAGAUU